rnacentral:rRNA from 1 species
AAUGAACGCUGGCGGCGUGCCUAAUACAUGCAAGUCGAGCGAACAGACGAUGAGCUUUUGCCUCUGAUGUUAGCGGGGGGCGGGUGAGUGAAACAUGGAUCACAUACCUAUAAGUCUUGGGUAACAUCGGGAAAACGGAUAUAAUAACAGAUAAUAUAUGGAACUGCAGGGUGCAAUGGUGAAAGACACUUUGGCUGGCGGUUGGAGGUGGUUGCGCUCCGCAUUAGCUAGUUGGUGAGGUAACGGCUUACCAAGGCAGCGAUGCGUAGCCGACCUGAGAGGAUGAUCUGCCACCCUGGAACUGGGACACGGUCCAGACUCCUACGGGAGGCAGCAGUAGGGAAUCUUCCGCAAUGGGCGGAAGCCUGACGCAGCCACGCCGCGUGAGUGAUGAAGGUCUUCGGAUCGUAAAGCUCUGUUAUUAGGGAAGAACAGAAGUGUAAGUAACUAUGCCCGUCUUGACGGUACCUAAUCAGAAAGCCACGGCUAACUACGUG